AUUGAACGCUGGCGGAAUGCUUUACACAUGCAAGUCGAGCGGCAGCGCGGGGCAACCUGGCGGCGAGCGGCGAACGGGUGAGUAACACAUCGGAACGGACCCAGUGGUGGGGGAUAGCCCGGCGAAAGCCGGAUUAAUACCGCAUACGACCUGAGGGUGAAAGCGGGGGACCGAAAGGCCUGGCGCAAUUGGAGCGGCCGAUGGCGGAUUAGCUAGUUGGCGGGGUAAAGGCCCACCAAGGCGACGAUCCGUAGCUGGUCUGAGAGGACGACCAGCCACACUGGAACUGAGACACGGUCCAGACUCCUACGGGAGGCAGCAGUGGGGAAUUUUGGACAAUGGGCGCAAGCCUGAUCCAGCCAUUCCGCGUGAGUGAAGAAGGCCUUCGGGUUGUAAAGCUCUUUCGGCAGGAACGAAACGGUCAUCUCUAACAUAGAUGGCUAAUGACGGUACCUGAAGAAGAAGCACCGGCUAACUACGUGCCAGCCGCCGCAGUAAGAC
rnacentral:rRNA from 1 species